rnacentral:lncRNA from 1 species
AGAGAUGCUCGUUCCUCUUGCUGUCUGCCACCAGUAUGCAGGGAACUCAAGAGCAGGAGUGACUCCCCACCCCAAGAAACAAGUGUCCACAAGACGGUUCCUUCCUAGAAGAAGGAAUGAAGACAGAGAAGGCCAGGGCAUCACUGAUACUUUAGUGAACCUGGUGUUCAUGUGGGAAUCUGCGUAAUAAAAAAAAAUCACUGUAAUACA